ACUCAGGUCAGAAAGCA
rnacentral:misc_RNA from 1 species